GAGGAAGACAAGAUGGCCGCCGACCUCUCCUUUCCAGGCAAACACACUAUUUUACCGUUUUCUCCACUUGUAAAGCCUGACGGAGGUGUCUGAGGCAGUAUAUCAUGUGGUAAUGGUUCUCCACGCCUUUAGAAACCCACAGUAACCGCCGGAGACCAAGAGAACACGGAGAAAACAGGGAGUGGAGAUUGUGGGCGGAUUUUUCGUGUUUAUAAGCUCAAACUCCAUCCUGGGGCCCAAGCAGCGGUGGACUCUCAACAACAACAACAACAACAACAACAACAACUCCGUCAAGUAACCCAAGAGAGGAGGAAGACCAUGGAGAAUUUACAACAAUAUGCACAGACAAGAAGAAGAAGAAGAAGAAGAAGAAGAAGAGUAAGAAGAUGAGAAGGAGGAAGAGAAUGGAAGAGAAGGAGCAGCACACUAUUGCUCCCACCAUGGAGGUUUAAUGUGUGGAAAUGUUCCAGCGUAGCUAUCAGUAAACAACACCGUCACAAUGGAUAAGACACGGCCCGAAGCAUGACCUCUCACCCGGGUAACCACCAGGUUUUGACGGCACGAGAAUGACAGGUUGAUGUCAAGGCAGUGAAUGGCAUCAUGUCCACUCCACCAACUAUACCUCCACAGCACACACACCCUGCCACCUUGUUUGCCGCAGCGCACGCCUCCUCGUCUUGUGGGAAGGAAAACACCAUCACUCUGGGUCCAGUUUUGAAGAUUCCCUCCCAGUAAGGCACACAGCACUUGUAUGGCAGUAUUGUUAUCUGGCACUGCCGACACUUCCUGAACGCCUACAACAGCACGCUUGGGGGCAGUCGACAGGUGUUCGCCGUGCCCUGCUACACUAUGCACAUUGGGAACCUCAAGCUGUGCAAGCCUAAGAGUGUGAGUUACCCGAGGGUUUGGAUUGACUUCAACCUGGGCACCUCCUCCAUCCUCAUCCUGUGCCAGGUGGAGAGCACGGCCCAGCCCUCCCACCCGGUACUGCCAGAAGAAGACAAGGAGGAGGAGGAGGAGGAGGUGGAAGAGGAAUCAUUUGGUGAGUGUUAAUUUUGUUCUGUUGUUUCUUCCUCCUCUCUCAAUCCUUUUCCUCUUCUCUGAUUCAUUUGCAUUCUACAAUUGUUCCUUCUCUCUCUAUUCUGCUAAAGUCUUCUUCUUCCAUUCCAAGGUCAUGCUCCAACUCCUGCUGUCCCCUCAGAGUGUUCAUUUCCCUCAGGUCAUCUCAUGAGGGACAUUAAGUGACGGCCACACACUUUUCCACAAAUGUUUACACUUCUGAGGUGAUAGGAGGGGACAUUCCAAGGGGUUGAUUUUCAGCAUUUAUAGUCACUGUAGAGUUUUGAGAUUUUUGGAGGAUCAUGAACAAGAAUCUAACUCCUUACACACCAAAAAUUAGCUUCAUAAACCUUUGCAGUCAUUCUUAAUGUUUGCCUCAAAUUUUGUGUGUUGUGUGGCCUGGCCUGACAUCUGGCCCUGGGGCGAGACAUUAGGGUGAAGCCUAUCAGGAUCAAUCUUGCAGCUUGCUUCUGAAAUUUGAGGAAAGGAGCUUUCUCUGAAGGAGUAUCUCCACAUGUCACACCUGCAUUGCUUUGACACCUGCAUGUUUUAGCUCAUCGUGGGAGGAAUUAGUGUUCGUGUAUGUGUUGGUGACAUGUCUUGGAAAAUCUCAUUUGUAGAUUGUCUCCUUUGUGUGUCCAUGGAUACAGUGUCAUUGCCUGACCAUGCAUACUUGAACAAAAGAUCAGUUUGGUCACUAAUUCCUACUGACGAUAUAUCCUACAGGCCAUCCAUGAGUGGGAACAGAUUUGUGCAGUAGACGGGUCGGUGGUACACGAGAAGUAUUAAUAAUCUUGGGCAACAACAACAGCUACAGGAGUGCUCACACUUUUGACAAGUUCAGUAGCUGUCUUGACGACCAGUGUGUCACCUCGUGCAGUGUCAGCUGUGUCUUGAUAAAUGCUUCUUUGUUCUCCUCAUUGGCAAGAAAUUGUUCCCUAUCACACAGUCAGUUCUGGUGGGACUCCCAAAUUAUGAGAUAUUGUUCUGCCUGCCAUUGUACGCAUGUGUUCAUGAUCUUUGGAUCCCUUCCAUCACACACUAGUACUGCACCAUCAAUGAACCUUCCCUGAACAUAGCUAUCAGCUGUGGCCUUGAUGCUUCCUCCAUUUCACUGGUGAAGUAACCAUCCCCCAUCCUGUUUUCCAUGUCCAGGCCAAGAGCAUCCUGCCAAAUUCAAUGCUUCCAAUAAAGAAGAGUCAUCUAUUUGUAUUAACAAGACUCUCCUAGCCCUUCCAAUGUAAGCUUUGAAGUUUCCCUGCAUCCUCUUCACAUCUCUCAUCUGUCAUCACCUAGCAAUCCAGCUUGUGCACAACCUCAAACAGAUACAAAUUGUUCGGCCAAGGAUCGGCAACUUUAUGCAGACUGUUACCCUUGAGACCUCAUCUCAGAAUGAACUAUCAUACGUUGAAACACCUUAUUUACAACAUGUGUUCCUCAUCUUUACUAAUCAAGACUUGUGCGUUUGGGUUUUGCUUUAUUAAACAUAGAAAGCUCAAUGACCUUUGAUCUCUUCCAAACCACUUAUUCACUUUUUUUUUAAGCAGCCAUGGGAAUUCAAAUAGGGUCAUUAUUUUUUGCAGGAAAUAUUAUAUUCUCCUGAGAUAAGAUAACUUCUUAACAAAUUCUGGCGUGUUGAAUAUUUUGACCUCAAUUUCAGAGGUAAUAUAUUGUUUUUUUGUAAGUGGUUACAUUUCAGAUCUUUCCUUGACAUCAUUCUGUUCACUUUGACACAACCAAGAUCAGCCAUUUAUGACGUUUCAUUUUCGAGAUAGAGAUUUGGACCUUUUAACGAAAGGUCGUUGACCUUUGACCCCUGUAGAGAAAAUUCCCCAACCUCUACAUGCCCUAUCUUUUUUUUAGUAAAUGUUGAUCCCCUUGGCUAUUGAAAUCAGUUGAAAAAUGAUUUCAUCAAAUUUUUUCCCAGAUUUAGUAGAUAUUUUUCUAAUUUUGGGUUACUAGUGACGUAUUUUGCAAUCCAGGAUCCCUGUGUCGCUGCCCGCCGUGCAUAGCGGGAGUCAUUAAAAAUCCUGCCCGGUGGUUUCCAGGAAGGGUUCUCACAUAGCCUCUUCUAUGGAAGAGUAGUUGCAGCCAUGGCCCUGUUAUAACUGAUGUGUGGUUGCUCCUCGGCUGGCUGGAGGAGAAGGCGACACUCUAGAGCCGGGAGUGGGUCGGUUCAAUUGACGAGUUGCUGCCACCGGCCUCGGUAGCUCGCAUGUGUCCAUUACCGAGCGAUGGCUGUCUGGCCGUAGUAUGCGCAAGGAUUCCACCUCCCACUAAGUCUCCUGAUUGGCCUGUAGCUGAAGUUGCAGUCUUUGCGGACAAAGCCGACUCGGCUUUCUUCAUUACAGCCGUGUAACUCUUUGCAGUCUCGUCAUUUUCCAUCCACUUCUCUUUGAUUAUGUGCAGCCUCGCUUCUCUGUCUCGAAUGCCGUCCAGCCUAACUGUCGUAGCCGUGUCAUGAAGUCGCUCGGCCCCUCUCCAAAUUGUUGUUCCUCGAAGUGCAGGAUCCUGAUUUCGAUAGCGUCAGCGGUCGAUGACGGGCGGUCCAGUGUGUUGGCCCCCAUUCUGCGUUCAGCUGCACUCGUUGCUCUGCGUAUGCAGCCGUCUGUCCCCGCAGCUGACGUAGUGAUAGCCCGGUAGUCUGGCUUAUCCCACA